rnacentral:rRNA from 1 species
GACGAACGCUGGCGGCGUGCUUAACACAUGCAAGUCGAACGGAAAGGCCCUGCUUUUGUGGGGUGCUCGAGUGGCGAACGGGUGAGUAACACGUGAGUAACCUGCCCUUGACUUUGGGAUAACUUCAGGAAACUGGGGCUAAUACCGGAUAGGAGCUCCUGCUGCAUGGUGGGGGUUGGAAAAUUUCGGCGGUUGGGGAUGGACUCGCGGCUUAUCAGCUUGUUGGUGGGGUAGUGGAUUACCAAGGCUUUGACGGGUAGCCGGCCUGAGAGGGUGACCGGCCACAUUGGGACUGAGAUACGGCCCAGACUCCUACGGGAGGCAGCAGUGGCGAAUAUUGCACAAUGGGCGGAAGCCUGAUGCAGCAACGCCGCGUGCGGGAUGACGGCCGUCGGGUUGUAAACCGCUUUCGCCUGUGACGAAGCGUGAGUGACGGUAAUGGGUAAAGAAGCACCGGCUAACUACGCG